rnacentral:rRNA from 1 species
AUUGAACGCUGGCGGCAGGCUUAACACAUGCAAGUCGAGCGGGGUGAUGGUGCUUGCACUAUCACUUAGCGGCGGACGGGUGAGUAAUGCUUAGGAAUCUGCCUAUUAGUGGGGGACAACAUCUCGAAAGGGAUGCUAAUACCGCAUACGUCCUACGGGAGAAAGCAGGGGAUCACUUGUGACCUUGCGCUAAUAGAUGAGCCUAAGUCGGAUUAGCUAGUUGGUGGGGUAAAGGCCUACCAAGGCGACGAUCUGUAGCGGGUCUGAGAGGAUGAUCCGCCACACUGGGACUGAGACACGGCCCAAACGCCUACGGGAGGCAGCAGUGGGGAAUAUUGGACAAUGGGAGGAACCCUGAUCUAGCCAUGCCGCGUGUGUGAAGAAGGCCUUAUGGUUGUAAAGCACUUUAAGCGAGGAGGAGGCUCUUUUGGUUAAUACCCAAGAUGAGUGGACGUUACUCGCAGAAUAAGCACCGGCUAACUCUGUGCCAGCCGCCGCCGUAA